rnacentral:rRNA from 1 species
UUUUCGGAGAGUUUGAUCCUGGCUCAGGACGAACGCUGGCGGCGUGCCUAAUACAUGCAAGUCGAGCGGACAGAAGGGAGCUUGCUCCCGGAUGUUAGCGGCGGACGGGUGAGUAACACGUGGGUAACCUGCCUGUAAGAUUGGGAUAACUCCGGGAAACCGGAGCUAAUACCGGAUAGUUCCUUGAACCGCAUGGUUCAAGGAUGAAAGACGGUUUCGGCUGUCACUUACAGAUGGACCCGCGGCGCAUUAGCUAGUUGGUGGGGUAAUGGCUCACCAAGGCGACGAUGCGUAGCCGACCUGAGAGGGUGAUCGGCCACACUGGGACUGAGACACGGCCCAGACUCCUACGGGAGGCAGCAGUAGGGAAUCUUCCGCAAUGGACGAAAGUCUGACGGAGCAACGCCGCGUGAGUGAUGA